rnacentral:rRNA from 1 species
UACGUAGGCAGCAAGCGUUGUUCGGAAUUACUGGGCGUAAAGAGUGUGUAGGCGGUGUUCUAAGUCUGUUGUGAAAUCUCCCGGCUUAACUGGGAGGGUGCGGCGGAAACUGGAAUGCUAGAGGAUGGGAGAGGUAAGCGGAAUUCCUGGUGUAGCGGUGAAAUGCGUAGAUAUACAGGAGAACACCAGUGGCGAAGGCGGCGAUGCUGGGAAGAUACUGACGCUGAGGUGACGAAAGCGUGGGGAGCAAACAGG